rnacentral:rRNA from 1 species
UAAAAACCCCGACUUCGGAAGGGGUGUAUUUAUUAGAUACAAAACCAAUGCCCUUCGGGGCUCUUUGGUGAUUCAUGAUAACUAUACGAAUCGCACGGCCUUGCGCCGGCGAUGGUUCAUUCAAAUUUCUUCCCUAUCAACUUUCGAUGUUUGGGUAUUGGCCAAACAUGGUUGCAACGGGUAACGGAGGGUUAGGGCUCGACCCCGGAGAAGGAGCCUGAGAAACGGCUACUACAUCCAAGGAAGGCAGCAGGCGCGCAAAUUACCCAAUCCCGACUCGGGGAGGUAGUGACGAUAAAUACUGAUACAGGGCCCUUUCGGGCCUUGUAAUUGGAAUGAGUACAAUUUAAAUCCCUUAACGAGGAACAAUUGGAGGGCAAGUCUGGUGCCAGCAGCCGCGGUAAUUCCAGCUCCAAUAGCGUAUAUUAAAGUUGUUGUGGUUAAAAAGCUCGUAGUUGAACCUUGGGCCUGGCUGGCCGGUCCGCCUCACCGCGUGCACUGGUCCGGCCGGGCCUUUCCCUCUGUGGAACCCCAUACCCUUCACUGGGCGUGGCGGGGAAACAGGACAUUUACUUU